CCCCAAAUUGAACCUUAGAACCCUAAAAUCAAAAAAUCCCCAAAUUGAUGGAUUCGAAUAUCUCUCUUGUUGAAGCCUCAAAUCGAAGAGUUCGUUUGAUUUGAUCUGUAAUUGGAGGAAAGGUUUUUUGGUGAUGGUGUUUGAGAUCUAAUGGUUGGGAUUUGUUGCGGUGUUGUUAGGGAGAGUGAUCAGCGGCACUGAUUGAUCCAACUACUUGAGCUUUCAAUGAAAAAAUCUGGCAUUGGAAAGGGAAAAAGGAAGAAGACGAAAGGAGGUGUAUUUCUUUUUAAUUUUUUUUUUAGUUAUUAUUGAAACAUUCCGAGUCCAUUAGAAGGUUUAGAUCAUAUUAUUAAACAAUAACAUUCCGUUUGGUUUGGUUACAAAUCGGUUUAUUA